CGCGGGAUAGAGAAGCAGUAUCUCGGGAGGCUCAUAACCUCCAGUCGUUGGUGCAAUUCCAGCUCCCGCAACAA
rnacentral:tRNA from 1 species